CCUCCAGCGUCGCUCAAUUCCCCAUAGGAAAGCAUUGAAAAUAUUUUUCAAUGCUUUCCUAUGGGGAGACCUAAUGCGCGUGCGCAGCAUUGCCGCGCAUGUGCAUUAGGUUUCCUCAGCCGGCGGGCGGGGUCAGUCUCGCCCACCGGCUGACGUGAUUACUGGGAGGAGCGACGCCAACCCGAAACCACUGCCGAGGGACAUUGGCGGGGUCUCCGGU